GUGAGGAAGAUAAUGACGGUACUCAACAAGGAAGUGACGGCUAACUACGUGCCAGCAGCCGCGGUAAAACGUAGGUCACAAGCGUUGUCCGGAAUUACUGGGUGUAAAGGGAGCGCAGGCGGGAAGACAAGUUGGAAGUGAAAUCCAUGGGCUCAACCCAUGAACUGCUUUCAAAACUGUUUUUCUUGAGUAGUGCAGAGGUAGGCGGAAUUCCCGGUGUAGCGGUGGAAUGCGUAGAUAUCGGGAGGAACACCAGUGGCGAAGGCGGCCUACUGGGCACCAACUGACGCUGAGGCUCGAAAGUGUGGGUAGCAAACAGGAUUAGAUACCCUGGUAGUCCACACUGUAAACGAUGAUUACUAGGUGUUGGAGGAUUGACCCCUUCAGUGCCGCAGUUAACACAAUAAGUAAUCCACCUGGGGAGUACGACCGCAAGGUUGAAACUCAAAGGAAUUGACGGGGGCCCGCACAAGCAGUGGAGUAUGUGGUUUAAUUCGACGCAACGCGAAGAACCUUACCAAGUCUUGACAUCCCUUGACGAUGCUGGAAACAGUAUUUCUCUUCGGAGCAAGGAGACAGGUGGUGCAUGGUUGUCGUCAGCUCGUGUCGUGAGAUGUUGGGUUAAGUCCCGCAACGAGCGCAACCCUUAUGGUCAGUUACUACGCAAGAGGACUCUGGCCAGACUGCGUUGGA
rnacentral:rRNA from 1 species